UCCUUCGUGGUGUAGUGGCCAGCACGCUCGGCUCAUAUUUGAGAGGUCCAGGUUCUAGUCCCGGCGUGGCAU
rnacentral:tRNA from 1 species